rnacentral:rRNA from 1 species
GACGAACGCUGGCGGCGUGCUUAACACAUGCAAGUCGAACGGAAAGGCCCUGCUUUUGUGGGGUGCUCGAGUGGCGAACGGGUGAGUAACACGUGAGUAACCUGCCCUUGACUUUGGGAUAACUUCAGGAAACUGGGGCUAAUACCGGAUAGGAGCUCCUGCUGCAUGGUGGGGGUUGGAAAGUUUCGGCGGUUGGGGAUGGACGCGCGGCUUAUCAGCUUGUUGGUGGGGUAGUGGCUUACCCAGGCUUUGACGGGUAGCCGGCCUGAGAGGGUGACCGGCCACAUUGGGACUGAGAUACGGCGCAGACUCCUACGGGAGGCAGCAGUGGGGAAUAUUGCACAAUGGGCGGAAGCCUGAUGCAGCAACGCCGCGUGCGGGAUGACGGCCUUCGGGUUGUAAACCGCUUUCGCCUGUGACGAAGCGUGAGUGACGGUAAUGGGUAAAGAAGCACCGGCUAACUACGUG